CACCAUUCAUUUUCGUUGCUGUGACAAGAUCCUCUGCACUGCUGCCAGGUUUCCACAGCUUUGGUUUGAUGAUGACACAUGUCCCCUAACGUAUGAGAUCUGCCUCAGUGAAGCUACUUCAGAACAGUGUGAAGAGGGAGUGGCACAUGUGUGGUCACAGCAUGAAGACCGGGAAAGGGAGGGGACCAUGCAGAUGGUGCAUGCUGAACUGGACUUGCCUAUUGUCAGUCUCCCUCACCACGACUGGGACACUGGAAGAAGUCCGUCGUCUGAAGGCGUUCCGUCAAUGUCAUGGUUAGCUUCAGUUGUCAACUUGACACACCUGGGAAGAGGGACCCUCAAAUGACGAAUUGCCUCCACCGGAUGGACCUAUGGACGUGUCGCCCUUGAUAACGCUGUUCCAGACAUGCCAGUUUGAUGUCAUCCGACCAGACGAAACUCUCCUGAGCCAGGGGAUGGACAGCUGUUUUCCACGUUCUUGGCAGUCCUGAACCUACCACCCCACUUUUGGAGACAGGGUCUCAUGUAGUCCAGGCCGAUCUCAAACAUGGUGGUAGCUGAGGCUGGCCUCUACUCCUGAUCCUCCUGCCUCUCCCCAUCCCCUGCCUCCUCCCCCGCAUCCUCCUGCCUCCAAGUGCUGGGAUUACAGACAUGCAUCACCACGAGUUUUAUUUUAUUUUAGAAGGGUCUUACUAUGUAGUCCAGGCCGGUCUCAAACCCAAACCAAUCCUCAACCUCACUGAAGGCUGGGGUUAUAAAUGUGACCAGGCACCUAUUAUUUCCAAUACUGCAGUAACUCUCAUGUAUAGUAUAGUUGAGAAAUGAACUACUCCAUAAGUGAAUUUUCAGAGUAAUGUCUGUGAAG
rnacentral:lncRNA from 1 species